AUAACUGCAGCAGAGAGCAUUAAUGUUCCAUCCUGGCAAAGAACAUGUCUAUAUUUUAUCCAAGCCUGGCUUUUCCAAAUGCGGGGGAAAUUUGACUGCAUAAUUUGUGGUAGUGGGGGACUGCCUUCGCGCGCUCCCCUG
rnacentral:snRNA from 14 species